UAUAGAGAACUGGUCCUCCGCGAAAGCUAUGUAGGUAGCCCCUCAUGUUUGACUCCCUGCGGGUAGAGCACUGUUUCGGUUAGGGACCAAGCCGAUGCAAACUAAGAAUACCCGCGUCGUUUAUGC
rnacentral:rRNA from 1 species